rnacentral:rRNA from 1 species
UGCUUCUCUUGAGAGCGGCGGACGGGUGAGUAAUGCCUAGGAAUCUGCCUGGUAGUGGGGGAUAACGUUCGGAAACGGACGCUAAUACCGCAUACGUCCUACGGGAGAAAGCAGGGGACCUUCGGGCCUUGCGCUAUCAGAUGAGCCUAGGUCGGAUUAGCUAGUUGGUGGGGUAAUGGCUCACCAAGGCGACGAUCCGUAACUGGUCUGAGAGGAUGAUCAGUCACACUGGAACUGAGACACGGUCCAGACUCCUACGGGAGGCAGCAGUGGGGAAUAUUGGACAAUGGGCGAAAGCCUGAUCCAGCCAUGCCGCGUGUGUGAAGAAGGUCUUCGGAUUGUAAAGCACUUUAAGUUGGGAGGAAGGGUUGUAGAUUAAUACUCUGCAAUUUUGACGUUACCGACAGAAUAAGCACCGGCUAACUCUGUGCCAGCAGCCGCGGUAAUACAGAGGGUGCAAGCGUUAAUCGGAAUUACUGGGCGUAAAGCGCGCGUAGGUGGUUUGUUAAGUUGGAUGUGAAAUCCCCGGGCUCAACCUGGGAACUGCAUUCAAAACUGACUGACUAGAGUAUGGUAGAGGGUGGUGGAAUUUCCUGUGUAGCGGUGAAAUGCGUAGAUAUAGGAAGGAACACCAGUGGCGAAGGCGACCACCUGGACUAAUACUGACACUGAGUGCGAAAGCGUGGGGAGCAAACAGGAUUAGAUACCCUGGUAGUCCACGCCGUAAACGAUGUCAACUAGCCGUUGGAAGCCUUGAGCUUUUAGUGGCGCAGCUAACGCAUUAAGUUUGACCGCCUGGGGAGUACGGCCGCAAAGG